AUGUAUGAGCUCACCGUGUCUGUGUAUCGUUCCCAGGACCAGUUUGUAGUGGAUUUGUGGAGGUUUUUUGUUAUUUUUGAGUCCUUUGACGAGUAUUGUGAUACCCGUCCCGUCCUGACAGUGUCGCCCCCCUCCAGUGAGGAGCUACAGCAGGGGACUGCAACAAUCACAUGUCUGGCCAACAAGGGCUUCCCCUCAGACUGGAGUCUGUCCUGGAAGGUGGAUGGCAGUGGCAGCAUCAGCUGGGAGGAGAGCAGGAGCCCCGUGGUGCUGCAGAAUGACGGCCUCUACAGCUGGAGCAGCACCCUGAGGCUCCCUGCAGACCGCUGGAUGAAGGUGGGCUCUGUGACCUGUGAGGCCACCCAGGGCUGCCAGACUAUGGUCUCAGAGCCACUGAGGAGAGUCCAGUGUUCCCAGUCCUGACCUGACUCAACCUGAUACUGGUUUAAUGCUCUCAUUCUCAACUCUGUAACUGUCUCUCCAUCUUUCUUUUUUAAGAACAAAUAAAG